AGUCGAACGGCAGCACGGGUGCUUGCACCUGGUGGCGAGUGGCGAACGGGUGAGUAAUAUAUCGGAACGUACCCUAGAGUGGGGGAUAACGCAGCGAAAGUUGCGCUAAUACCGCAUACGAUCUACGGAUGAAAGUGGGGGAUCGCAAGACCUCAUGCUCAUGGAGCGGCCGAUAUCUGAUUAGCUAGUUGGUGGGGUAAAAGCCUACCAAGGCAUCGAUCAGUAGCUGGUCUGAGAGGACGACCAGCCACACUGGAACUGAGACACGGUCCAGACUCCUACGGGAGGCAGCAGUGGGGAAUUUUGGACAAUGGGCGCAAGCCUGAUCCAGCAAUGCCGCGUGAGUGAAGAAGGCCUUCGGGUUGUAAAGCUCUUUUGUCAGGGAAGAAACGGUGAGGGCUAAUAUCCUUUGCUAAUGACGGUACCUGAAGAAUAAGCACCGGCUAACUACGUGCCAGCAGCCGCGGUAAUACGUAGGGUGCAAGCGUUAAUCGGAAUUACUGGGCGUAAAGCGUGCGCAGGCGGUUAUGUAAGUCAGAUGUGAAAUCCCCGGGCUCAACCUGGGAAUGGCAUUUGAGACUGCAUGGCUAGAGUGUGUCAGAGGGGGGUAGAAUUCCACGUGUAGCAGUGAAAUGCGUAGAGAUGUGGAGGAAUACCGAUGGCGAAGGCAGCCCCCUGGGAUAACACUGACGCUCAUGCACGAAAGCGUGGGGAGCAAACAGGAUUAGAUACCCUGGUAGUCCACGCCCUAAACGAUGUCUACUAGUUGUCGGGACUUAAUUGUCUUGGUAACGCAGCUAACGCGUGAAGUAGACCGCCUGGGGAGUACGGUCGCAAGAUUAAAACUCAAAGGAAUUGACGGGGACCCGCACAAGCGGUGGAUGAUGUGGAUUAAUUCGAUGCAACGCGAAAAACCUUACCUACCCUUGACAUGUACGGAACCUCUGAGAGAUUAGAGGGUGCUCGAAAGAGAGCCGUAACACAGGUGCUGCAUGGCUGUCGUCAGCUCGUGUCGUGAGAUGUUGGGUUAAGUCCCGCAACGAGCGCAACCCUUGUCAUUAGUUGCUACGAAAGGGCACUCUAAUGAGACUGCCGGUGACAAACCGGAGGAAGGUGGGGAUGACGUCAAGUCCUCAUGGCCCUUAUGGGUAGGGCUUCACACGUCAUACAAUGGUACAUACAGAGGGCCGCCAACCCGCGAGGGGGAGCUAAUCCCAGAAAGUGUAUCGUAGUCCGGAUUGUAGUCUGCAACUCGACUACAUGAAGUUGGAAUCGCUAGUAAUCGCGGAUCAGCAUGUCGCGGUGAAUACGUUCCCGGGUCUUGUACACACCGCCCGUCACACCAUGGGAGCGGGUUUCACCAGAAGUAGGUAGCCUAACCGCAAGGAGGGCGCUACC
rnacentral:rRNA from 1 species